GUUCAAUUUUGGGCCUACGUGACAAGCCACAUUUUAAUGACAUCUUUCCCCAGGUAUGGCUCAAGCUUGUAUGUGGGCUCUAGAUUGGAAGAAUAAAUUCUGGGGACAUUUGAGACUUUUUUAGAUGCUGGUGAGAUAGUCAACCCUCGUGAAUGAAAAAGUUCUGGGGAGAGCCUCUGGACAUUGUUUUCAGGAAGAUUGAUUCUGAUCAUCUUAUCAGCCAAGGCAUAUGACCAGGGAGAGUGCUGGGAGCAGGCAGGCCGUUUCCACCACCGUGACACAGAAACAAACGGCAGAUUAUCUGCUGGGUACAAAAGAGUUCAACAUGUUCAGCCACCAUCUGCCCAACUGCAAAUUCAGCAGGAAAGAAGCACAGGUGAAGUUGAGAGGAGACUCUUGAAUGUGCCAGAGACAUCCACUAAGAUUACUGACUUUUCAAAUCCUGCCCCAGAUUUUUCCCCAAAGACAGAUAAAUCAAGCUACCAAAGCUAUGACAGUCAGAAAAGUUACCUUUAUGUCAGUAAAU
ensembl:lncRNA